rnacentral:rRNA from 1 species
CGGCGAGUGAAGCGGCAAUAGCUCAAAUUUGAAAGCUGGCCCCUUCGGGGUCCGCGUUGUAAUUUGUAGAGGAUGAUUCGGCGAGGGCUCCCGUCUAAGUCCCCUGGAACGGGGCGUCACAGAGGGUGAGAAUCCCGUAUGUGAUGGGUUGCCUUAGCCAUGUGAAUCUCCUUCGACGAGUCGAGUUGUUUGGGAAUGCAGCUCUAAAUGGGAGGUAAAUUUCUUCUAAAGCUAAAUACCGGCCAGAGACCGAUAGCGCACAAGUAGAGUGAUCGAAAGAUGAAAAGCACUUUGGAAAGAGAGUUAAAAAGUACGUGAAAUUGUUGAAAGGGAAGCGCUUGCAGCCAGACUUGUCCGCAGUUGCUCAGCCGGUCUCCUGACCGGCGUACUCUUCUGCGGCCAGGCCAGCAUCAGUUCGGGCGGUCGGAUAAAGACCUCGGGAAUGUAGCUCCUCUCGGGGAGUGUUAUAGCCCGGGGUGGAAUGCGGCCAGCCUGGACUGAGGAUCUCGCUUCGGCUAGGAUGCUGGCGUAAUGGCUGUAAGCGGCCCGUCUUGAAACACGGACCAAGGAGUCUAACAUCUAUGCGAGUGUUUGGGUGUCAAACCCAUACGCGUAAUGAAAGUGAACGGAGGUGGGAACCCUCACGGGUGCACCAUCGACCGAUCCUGAUGUCUUCGGAUGGAUUUGAGUAAGAGCAUAGCUGUUGGGACCCGAAAGAUGGUGAACUAUGCCUGAAUAGGGUGAAGCCAGAGGAAACUCUGGGGGAGGCUCGCAGCGGUUCUGACGUGCAAAUCGAUCGUCAAAUUUGGGUAUAGGGGCGAAAGACUAAUCGAACCAUC